rnacentral:rRNA from 1 species
AUUGAACGCUGGCGGCAUGCUUUACACAUGCAAGUCGAACGGCAGCGGGGGCUUCGGCCUGCCGGCGAGUGGCGAACGGGUGGGUAAUGCAUCGGAACGUGCCCAUGUCGUGGGGGAUAACUACGCGAAAGCGUGGCUAAUACCGCAUACGCCCUGAGGGGGAAAGCGGGGGAUCUUUCGGGACCUCGCGCGAUUGGAGCGGCCGAUGUCGGAUUAGCUAGUUGGUGGGGUAAAGGCUCACCAAGGCGACGAUCCGUAGCUGGUCUGAGAGGAUGAUCAGCCACACUGGGACUGAGACACGGCCCAGACUCCUACGGGAGGCGGCAGUGGGGAAUUUUGGACAAUGGGCGCAAGCCUGAUCCAGCCAUGCCGCGUGAGUGAAGAAGGCCUUCGGGUUGUAAAGCUCUUUCGGCCGGGAAGAAAUCGCAUUCUCUAAUAUAGGAUGUGGAUGACGGUACCGGACUAAGAAGCACCGGCUAACUACGUGCCAGCAGCCGCCGCAGUAA